rnacentral:rRNA from 1 species
AGAACGAACGCUGGCGGCAUGCCUAAUACAUGCAAGUCGAACGAACACUUCGGUGUUAGUGGCGCACGGGUGCGUAACGCGUGGGAAUCUGCCCUUGGGUUCGGAAUAACAGUUGGAAACGACUGCUAAUACCGGAUGAUGACGAAAGUCCAAAGAUUUAUCGCCCAGGGAUGAGCCCGCGUAGGAUUAGCUAGUUGGUGAGGUAAAGGCUCACCAAGGCGACGAUCCUUAGCUGGUCUGAGAGGAUGAUCAGCCACACUGGGACUGAGACACGGCCCAGACUCCUACGGGAGGCAGCAGUAGGGAAUAUUGGACAAUGGGCGCAAGCCUGAUCCAGCAAUGCCGCGUGAGUGAUGAAGGCCUUAGGGGUUGUAAAGUCUCUUUUACCCGAGUAGUGAGUAAUUGACAGUAAUCGGAGAAUAAGUCCCGGCUAACUCCGUGACCAGACAGACCGUC